UCUUGUAUUCCUCAGUUCCUCUUAUGGUGCUUAUAGAAAUACUGGCUAUUUGAUUGAAUAUUCUUUCUUGACAGAUGUAGAUAAUAGUGCUUCCAUACAAGAGGCCUUUGUCUCCAUCGAGAACCAGCUGGAGGGCUUGGGGCUGAACCUACUCAUCAACAAUGCAGGAAGGAUCUUUAUCCACCCAUUCCUCUCUGAAUCAGAGGAAUCCAUGCUCCAGCUGUACCAAACUCAUGUUGUUGGUAGCUUGAAGAUGAGCCAGAUAUUCCUUCCCUUGUUGAAGAAGGCAGCCCAAAUGGGUCCUCAGGAUAGUCUCAGUUGUAACCGGGCUGCUAUCAUCAACAUUUCUUCUCUUGGAGGCUCCAUCAAAGAAGUUUUUGCUUGGCAUUUGUAUCAUAUUUUGUCAUAUCGCUGUAGUAAGCUCAGCGACUCCUGAAGCUGAUCACUGACUUAGCCCCAGGUCCAAGACAACAGCGAGGGUUCUUUCAGGGAAUCCCCUGCCAGGCCUUUUGUGAAGAGGAACCCAGAGUUUAUCAUGAACUCAGCCCAGGCCAGUAAAUCAGGCCAGGAGCUCUCACUCAAUUCCCUAAGCUCCCUGCUUAACCAGUAAGUAACUGGCUUAUUGUAUAGUUCAGAGCUUAACAUAUGAUACACAUAAUAUGGUAUAUAGUAGAGGCUUAAUAAGUAUGUGUUUCUUACACACGAUACUCCAUCUCCAAACUGGGCAUUUUCACUGGCUGUGAACUUCAUGCCUGGAACUCUCUUAUUCCUUACCCCUGCCUCCUGGCUUCCUUUUCAGCUAAAAUCCCAUCUGUUUCUUUCUCUCAAUCUCUCUCUCUGUCUCUCUCUGUCUCUGUCUCUCUUUCUCUUUCUCUCUCUCUGUCUCUGUCUCUCUUUCUCUUUCUCUUUCUCUCUCUCUCUGUCUCUCUGUCUUUCUGUCUCUCUCUCCAUCUAUCCAUCCAUCUAUCUAUCUAUCUAUCUAUCUAUCUAUCUAUCUAUCUAUCUAUCUAUCUAUCUAUCUAUCUGUGUGUCUAUCUUUCUGUCUAUCUAUCGUAAUAGUUAAAAAGGUUUUGUUGAAUUGUAAGAGUUAAAAAAGUAGUGGUUUCCAUAUAUAAUAAUUAAAUUUUAAACUAUGAGUCUGUUAGUAGCUUUAGUAGCUUUAUUACAGCAAAGUCGAGAUAGUAAAGAGAAGGGAAAUGUAGGAAAGAGGUAACGAGUUGUCUAGCCAACCCUUAAUACUGAUCCAAUGAAAUCCAGAUCAUCCCCUGACAAAAAGCUCAAUCAGGUCCUGAUCUCCAGCCAGGAGUCUCAGCAGUCUCUUCAGCAUGAGUCCCCAGAGUAAGAAUCUCCCUUCAGGCUGAGUCCCCAACACAAAAUACUUCUUCCUUCAGCAAGAGCCACCAACAUAGAAUCCCUCUUUCAGCCAGAGCCACCAACACAGAAGAAUCAGUGGGGAAUCACCAACACAGAAUCUCCAAUGCAGAAUGAAUGUUCAGGUCUCCAGUUGCCUUUAUAAGCCCUUUUCCUACAUCACUUCCUGUCUCUCUGGUUUCUACUUCCUUUCAAUGUAAGCUGGUCUAUCUCUGCACAUUUCAAUGGUAAAAAGACCUCCAGCUCAUUGAUUAAUUAAAUUAAAACAGAGUCCAAGUUCCUGAUUGAAUAAGUUAAAAAAGAACAAAGGGAGUUUAAAUUCCCUUUCACACCAUCUCUCUGUCUCUCUAUAUAUACAUAAAUUCUAUUUGUCUCAGUCCCUCCAUUCACUUUUCUGUCUACCAUAAUAUAAACAAAAAUAUAGUUUAAAGGCAGCCAAAAGCCUGGUAUAUAAUAGUAACUAAAAAACAAAAAACAAAAACAGCAAUGGUACUAGACAAUAGAAAAGGAAAUUUAUCACUUUCCCCAUAAUAGAGAAGCAAGCAACUACUAGGCCAGAAAGUUGUAUACAUUAUCAGACAACAGUCCUUGCACUAGGUGUAUUGACUACUAUUUUUCUUUGUAGCAUCUGUUUCACAAGAACUGAGUUAAAAAAAAAUUUUUUUUUCCCCUAAGGGUUGGCAGGUUGAGUGAUUUGAACUU